GGCGAAGAGGCCCCCGCGGCCGGCCGAGCUCCGUGGACUCCGCAGGAGCGGCCCCGCCCCUCACACUACGCCGGGCGGUUCCCUCCGAGCCCCGCCGGGACAGCGUCGACGCUGCACACACCCCAGAGAAGCCAGAGGACGGCGCCUGCACCGGACACAGCGCAACACCGGCACAGCACAGCGUCCACACCACAAGUGAGCCUAGGCAGCUGUGUCUACACUGCAGACGCCGGCCUGAGCGCACGCGUCUUCAUGCAGGCUCAGCAGAGGGGGAAGAACACCUCCCCGAGGGUGGAAGAGCUGUGGCCAGCAGACAGAUGGACGGACAGACGGACACAGGCGAACAGGCAGCGCAGGGGUGAGCCGAGCCGGUCAAAUGGGCCAGGACCCGGCUCCGUGUGCCCUUCACAGUCAGGAUGACAGAACCCCGUGGAAUAUGAAAAAUGCCGGGAGACAGACCCCGGAGGCACAGCCCCUCACCGGGCAGGGAGGCCGCCAGAGGGAAGCGCAGCUCCAGACCACCAGAGCCCCAUCUGAUUAAGGCAUCGAGAUCAAAGCUCAGCAGAGGGCGGCUCAUGAUGGGCAGCUCAAAAAAAUAAACCCACCAAUCAGAGUCCGUGUUCCUGUGACCGGUGGCGGGUUCGGAUGCAGAGGAGGCUUCUCAGUGCGGUUCCUCCUCAUCUCGGAACCUGCCACCCCACUCAAGCCCGACAUAGGCCAGGACAGCCAGGACGGCCGCAGCGAGGGCAACACGAGGCCCGUCGACAUCCUGAGGCCCCCGGGCCUGUCGCCGAGUCCCGGCUUGGGGAGUGUCCCCGGGCCACACUGGUCCUGCUCCCGGCUGUGUGGUCUCCCAGGCGCGUGGCUCCUCCCUCCGGGGCCCAGGCUCUGGUGUGAGCCACUUUUUCCAUAGGAGACGCCCAUACUUGCAGCUCACGCCUUUGUCUGGUGCCCUGGCCUCACACCUAUAGGAAUUGGGUACCUGGGGGCCUCUUCAUCUUUACUUGUCUCAGCUUAGAGAAGCCCAGCUACACUUCCUCCAUGCCUGGAUUCAUGCACGGCCCCACAGGGUGAGGCCUGGACACCCUCACGGGCACUGGGGCUCCACGGAUGCAGAAGGCAGCCUGGCCCGGUAGCUCGGGGGUCUGAGAUGGAGGUGGAGUAAGACAGAGUGACAAAGGCUGCGUCCUGGAGGCAGGCUCGGAGCCUCCCUGAGCUCAGAGAGCCCGCGUGCGCCAGGAAGCCACACCUGCAGGACCCGAGUCGGAACUCAGAGGCUGGUACAGCCGCGGUGCUUGUCCUGUAGAUAAGAAUGGCCUCCUCUGGCGGCCAAAGUUAAUUAAACUGACAAUCUUGAUAAGUUGCACAGUUACCUGCUCGGGGACAAAGAAGAUGGGAGCCUUGUUUGUGGUUUCUUCUUGUUCUUUCCUGUGCCCCACAGUCAUUUUAAAAUUAAAUUAAAUGGCUUAUCUGCACU
rnacentral:lncRNA from 1 species